AUUGAACGCUGGCGGCAGGCCUAACACAUGCAAGUCGAGCGGAGUGGCGGACGGGUGAGGAAUGCCAAGGAAUCUGCAUGGUAGUGGGGGAUAACGUACGGAAACGGGCGCUAAUACUGCAUACUAUUAGAUGAGCCUAGGUCGGAUUAGCUAGUUGGUGGGGUAAAGGCAUACCAAGGCGAAGAUGCGUAUCUGGUCUGAGAGGAUGAUCAGUCACACUGGAACUGAGACACGGUCCAGACUCCUACGGGAGGCAGCAGUGGGGAAUAUUGGGCAAUGGGCGAAAGCCUGAUCCAGCCAUGCCGCGUGUGUGAAGAAGGUCUUCGGGUUGUAAAGUACUUUAAGUUGGGAGGCGUUACCAACAGAAUAAGCACCGGCUAACUCCGUGCCAGCCGCCGCGGUAAUUC
rnacentral:rRNA from 1 species